rnacentral:rRNA from 1 species
AGGACGAACGCUGGCGGCGUGCCUAACACAUGCAAGUCGAACGAGAAAGGGGAGCAAUCCCCGAGUAUAGUGGCGCACGGGUGAGUAACACGUGAAUAAUCUACCUCCGAGUGGGGAAUAACUGAGAGAAAUCUUAGCUAAUACCGCAUAGCACUUACGAGUCAAAGCAGCAAUGCGCUUGGAGAGGAGUUCGCGGCCGAUUAGUUAGUUGGCGGGGUAAUGGCCCACCAAGACGAUGAUCGGUA